UUGUUUGUUGAUAAAAAUCUGUAUGUGAAAGACUUGCUGGUCACCUAGGGAAAAGGCGGACGAGCCCAGUACAUAGGGAACUCUAUCGUGAACGUUACUUCAGUUGGACAGGACUGAGAAGUCCCUUACAAAAAAGAUUUGAGAGAUAUAGUUCACCUUCAUACCGACGAAGUAUCGAGGCAAUGAAACGUUUGGUGCCUAUUACCGAACGGUGUAUGGAGAUGGUCGGUCAAUUGUAAAAUUGGAUAUUGUGUUUAUGAAUAGGGGGGAUAUCCCU
rnacentral:lncRNA from 1 species